rnacentral:rRNA from 1 species
CCCUUAGAUGUUCUGGGCCGCACGCGCGCUACACUGACGGAGCCAACGAGUACUUUCCUUGUCCGGAAGGACUGGGUAAUCUUGUGAAACUUCGUCGUGCUGGGGAUAGAGCAUUGCAAUUAUUGCUCUUCAACGAGGAAUUCCUAGUAAGCGUGAGUCAUCAGCUCGCGUUGAUUACGUCCCUGCCCUUUGUACACACCGCCCGUCGCUACUACCGAUUGAAUGGCUUAGUGAGGCUUCCGGAUUGGUUUAGAGAAGGGGGCAACUCCAUCUUGGAACCGAGAAGCUAGUCAAACUUGGUCAUUUAGAGGAAGUAAAAGUCGUAACA